rnacentral:rRNA from 1 species
UUCAGGAGCUUGAGAGAUUCGAGUGUGCCUUCGGGAACUCUGAGACAGGUGCUGCAUGGCUGUCGUCAGCUCGUGUUGUGAAAUGUUGGGUUAAGUCCCGCAACGAGCGCAACCCUUAUCCUUGUUUGCCAGCACUUCGGGUGGGAACUCCAGGGAGACUGCCGGUGAUAAACCGGAGGAAGGUGGGGACGACGUCAAGUCAUCAUGGCCCUUACGAGUAGGGCUACACACGUGCUACAAUGGCAUAUACAGAGGGCAGCAAGACCGCGAGGUGGAGCGAAUCCCAGAAAGUAUGUCGUAGUCCGGAUCGGAGUCUGCAACUCGACUCCGUGAAGUCGGAAUCGCUAGUAAUCGUGGAUCAGAAUGCCACGGUGAAUACGUUCCCGGGUCUUGUACACACCGA